UCGGUUUGGAAAAUUAAGAAAUGCUUUAGGUUUAUGUAUUGUUAAGAAUCUAUAACAAUUAAUGUUGAGGUGUCAUGGGAGUUAUUGUGUCGCCUAUUUGUUUCUCAUAGCCAUCAUGUCCAAGGAACAUGCACUUCUGUUUAUCCUGAUAUUAGUAUUCCUAAUAUGAAUGUUAUUAAAAUUAACACUUUCUUUUAUGUUACGCGUAUUAAGUCACUCAAAAAUUAUUUCAUCUUCUCAAAAAUUCUUUCCAUUCUCG
rnacentral:lncRNA from 1 species